rnacentral:rRNA from 1 species
UACGAAGGGUGCAAGCGUUACUCGGAAUUACUGGGCGUAAAGCGUGCGUAGGUGGUUUGUUAAGUCUGAUGUGAAAGCCCUGGGCUCAACCUGGGAAUUGCAUUGGAUACUGGCAGGCUAGAGUGCGGUAGAGGAUGGCGGAAUUCCCGGUGUAGCAGUGAAAUGCGUAGAGAUCGGGAGGAACAUCUGUGGCGAAGGCGGCCAUCUGGACCAGCACUGACACUGAGGCACGAAAGCGUGGGGGGCAAACAGG